rnacentral:rRNA from 1 species
CCGCGGUAAUACGGAGGGUGCGAGCGUUAAUCGGAAUUACUGGGCGUAAAGCGCAUGCAGGUGGUUUGUUAAGUCAGAUGUGAAAGCCCGGGGCUCAACCUCGGAAUUGCAUUUGAAAACUGGCAAACUAGAGUACUGUAGAGGGGGUAGAAUUUCAGGUGUAGCGGUGAAAUGCGUAGAGAUCUGAAGGAAUACCGGUGGCGAAGGCGGCCCCCCUGGACAGAUACUGACACUCAGAUGCGAAAGCGUGGGGAGCAAACAGGAUUAGAUACCCUGGUAG